CUGGCCAGGCCGCAUCUGUGAUUUCUCCGCCCGCUCUGCAAUAUUUAAAUAGGCAAACCGAUCCACAUCGACACAAUAAUUCAGCUUUUUUUUUUUUUUUGUCUUUGUCGUUUUCUACAGGACCCCCUAGAGAUGGACCUUCAAUUCCUCGGUCCUCCCUCUAGAACUGGCAUGCUCCAUCUCUGUCCAUGCAGGCCCAAUUAUCCAGAUCCUUGGGGUUCCAAGAUAGCCUGAGUCAUUGGAACUAGGAACACCUGGCUGAAUCACGCCAUGCAAUUAGAUUUUCUUGUUCCUUCUUACUCCUUAUCCAUUUAUUUUUAAAGAGGGCAGCGAUUAACCGCCCAACUGGGCGGAGUAGUUGAGGAGGAGGAAGGAAAAGCGCCAAGGACUCUGUGCAGACCCUAGAGAGACCUCCAGGCUCCGCUGGGCCGGGACUCCUUUCCCUCCCUCGGCAUCCCAGCCUCCUCCUCCGCGAAUUGUUUUUCCCCCCUUUUCCUCCCACUGUCCUCUCUUCGGUUUAAUUAAAGUUCAGCGACUACACUAGCUUCUCGAAUUUCUUCCAGAAAUCGGAAACCGGACGGCCGGCCGGGCAAUCACGGGCUGAGCAGCCUCCCUCGCCUACUUCUCUGUGCUCGCCAAGGCCCUGCCACUCAGCCGCAGGUGUGCAGGAGGUUGGCCUGGGGACCAGAACCACCGCCCGGCCUGAGCAGGACCUCUAGGUUGGCUGCACAAAGUUUGAAGGCCUCUCCACCUGCCCAGGAGACUGACUGACCACGGGUUUCAGUCCUGCGCUGGGAACCUCCACUGUCUUCCGCCCACUCCUACUUAGCUCCUCAAAGUCCAGCAGACUUCUGACUCUCCGUGUAUCUCGGGGAUACUGUUGCCCCAGUACUUUAGCCCCUUCUCUGUGUGGUGUGGCUCUCCUCAGCAGUGUUUUACAAAGAAGAAAGAACAGCUUGGAGACAUGUUUACAUCUAGUUCUACGGAUCCAUUCACAUCUGGAGAGUUUAUUUAUAACUCCCUCCAUAACUCUCUCUGUUUGGAGGCACCAGUGGCUGUAUUGACAGACGGAUGUCUACAAAAUAUUGCUCUAUCUCUAACCAUACCUAAAUGUGCUGUAGUUGUAUUUACAGAUUUAUGCCUGAGGAGAAUAUAAUUAUUUCCAUUGUA